rnacentral:rRNA from 1 species
GAUGAACGCUAGCUACAGGCUUAACACAUGCAAGUCGCGGGGCAGCAUGAAUUUAGCUUGCUAAAUUUGAUGGCGACCGGCGCACGGGUGAGUAACGCGUAUCCAACCUUCCCCUGUCCACGGGAUAGCCCGUCGAAAGGCGGAUUAAUACCGUAUGAGGUCACAUGCGGGCAUCUAAUUGUGACGAAAGGUUUAGCGGACAGGGAUGGGGAUGCGUCCGAUUAGGUAGUCGGCGGGGUAACGGCCCACCGAGCCGACGAUCGGUAGGGGUUCUGAGAGGAAGGUCCCCCACAUUGGAACUGAGACACGGUCCAAAACUCCUACGGGAGGCAGCAGUGAGGAAUAUUGGUCAAUGGGCGCGAGCCUGAACCAGCCAAGUAGCGUGCAGGAUGACGGCCCUAUGGGUUGUAAACUGCUUUUAUGCGGGGAUAAAAGUGAGGGACGCGUCCCUUUUUGCAGGUACCGCAUGAAUAAGGACCGGCUAAUUCCGUG